rnacentral:rRNA from 1 species
CGGCCCUUUAAACUUGCCAGUUCGAACGGUACGCGGGGCAACCUGGCGACGAGUGGCGAACGGGUGAGUACUGUAUCUGAACGUGCCCAGUUGUGGGGGAUAACUGCUCGAAAGAGCAGCUAAUACCGCAUACGACCUGAGGGUGAAAGCGGGGGAUCGCAAGACCUCGCGCAAUUGGAGCGGCCGAUGUCGGAUUAGCUAGUUGGUGGGGUAAAGGCCCACCAAGGCGACGAUCCGUAGCUGGUCUGAGAGGACGACCAGCCACACUGGGACUGAGACACGGCCCAGACUCCUACGGGAGGCAGCAGUGGGGAAUUUUGGACAAUGGGCGCAAGCCUGAUCCAGCCAUGCCGCGUGCGGGAAGAAGGCCUUCGGGUUGUAAACCGCUUUUGUCAGGGAAGAAACGCUCCGGGCUAAUACCCUGGGGUAAUGACGGUACCUGAAGAAUAAGCACCGGCUAACUACGUGCCAGCAGCCGCG